CCUACGGGUGGCAGCAGUGGGGGAUAUUGCACAAUGGGGGAAACCCUGAUGCAGCGACGCCGCGUGUAGGAAGACGGUCCUCUGGAUUGUAAACUACUGUCCCCAGGGACGAAGCUGACGGUACCUGGGGAGGAAGCUCCGGCUAACUAUGUGCCAGCAGCCGCGGUAAUACGUAGGGAGCGAGCGUUGUCCGGAAUUACUGGGUGUAAAGGGAGCGUAGGCGGGGAUGCAAGUUGGGUGUUAAAUCUACCGGCUAAACUGGUAGUCGCACUCAAAACUGCAGCUCUUGAGUGAAGUAGAGGCAGGCGGAAUGCCUAGUGUAGCGGUGAAAUGCGUAGAUAUUAGGAGGAACACCAGUGGCGAAGGCGGCCUGCUGGGCUUUUACUGACGCUGAGGCUCGAAAGUGUGGGGAGCAAACAGGAUUAGAUACCCGAGUAGUC
rnacentral:rRNA from 1 species